UACGUAGGGGGCAAGCGUUGUCCGGAUUCAUUGGGCGUAAAGCGCGUGUAGGCGGCCAUGCAGGUCAGCUGUGAAAACUUGAGGCUCAACCUCGAGACGUCGGCUGAAACCGUUUGGCUAGAGUCCGGAAGAGGAGAGUGGAAUUCCUGGUGUAGCGGUGAAAUGCGCAGAUAUCAGGAGGAACACCGGUGGCGAAGGCGGGUCUCUGGGCCGAAAUUGACGCUGAGGAGCGAAAGCGUGGGGAGCAAACAGG
rnacentral:rRNA from 1 species